rnacentral:sRNA from 1 species
GAGGCUACUAAACGGCAAGCAAUCGCUGC